rnacentral:SRP_RNA from 1 species
GUGGGCGCGGUGGUGCGUGCCUGUAGUCCCAGCUACUUGGGAAGCUGAGGUGGGAGGAUCGCUUAAGCCCAGGAGUUCUGGGCUGUAGUGCGCUAUGCCGAUUCGGUAUCCGCACUAACUUCAGCAUCAAUAUGGUGACCUCCCGGGAGCGGGGGACCACCAGGUUGCCUAAGGAGGGGUGAACCGGCCCGGGUCGGAAACGGAGCAAGUCAAAACUCCCAAGCUGAUCAGUAGUGGGAUCGCGCCUGUGAAUAGCCACUGCACUUCAGCCUGGGCAACAGAGCAAGACCCCGUCUCU